UGCGCUGGGGCAGCUGCGCUCCGAAACGUGGCAGGAGGUCGCAGUUGCCUCGGUGGUGCCCGCCAGCCGCGGCGGGGAGGAGUUUCCCCAAUUAACACGCUUGGCAACGCCAGGCGAAGGCAGCGAGGUUUGAUGUGCUAUUAUUAUGAAUGAGUGUGACCUGACCUCUUCUGAAGUUUGGAAUGCUUUGCUCCACUUAUUGGACACAAUGGGCCAGCUUUACAGAGCUGAAUAUUUUACUGUUGAAAGCCUCCAUGGUACAGCCUGGGGAAAAAAUAUUUUAUGCUAAAUGAGUCUGGAGGGAUGAGGUAUUCAAAGCAAGCUUUCUGAACAUAAGUAUGAAAGCAAACUGCAAGGUCAAGAAUCUUCAAAGCACCAGCUGUUAGCCUUUGAUUUUCUGCCUUUGCCUAAACUGACCAAACUGGGGCGCAUUGCUGAGCAUGCACGCUGCACUGCAUACCCUCACUGCUGGCCAGCCUUCCCAUCUUCAGCACCUGAGAAACUUAACAACUCCAUUUGGACAGGUACCAUGCUCGGGGGAAGACCUGGAGGUCUGUUGCAGUUUGUGGGCUCAGCUACAGCUCCUCUAGUCAGGAAGUGGGAACGCCUGAGAAGCAGAGCUGACUGCCUUAGCUUGGAGAUCCUCUUGUGGCUUCUUGGAGAAAUACCUCUCAGGAUUCCCUCUGCAGCCUCACUUCACCUCCUACCAGCACCAGCCGUACAUUCCGGGUACUUAAACCACAUCAUCUGCUCAUCUUUGUUUUGUGGCUUUCUGAGGUUUUAGUUUUAGACAAAACCUCUCUUGCUCCAAAAUUAUCGUUCUAAAUUGUAUUGUGAUGUUUCACGCUUCAUGAACAAAUGUUCAAUUCAAUCAAAAGUUACUAGUGAAGAUAAGAUUCAUAUCAGAAAUGCACCAAUCUUUCUCCCAUGUUUCUGUGGCCUUUGAACUCACUCAUAUUUACACUGUAAGAAUAAAAGUACCAUCUGCACAG